GCAAUUUAUUCGCUGUUUAUCAAAUCUAUGGCGCCCUUCCAAUUCAGACAGGCAGUGAUCAGCCACCAAAAAGAGGCCUGGGAAGGGGCGUGGUUUCAAGCAUAUAUAAAACGUGUCGGCCGCUACAGUCUGUCUCUUCCUGUGCGCUGUAGAGGCACGGAUGCCCUUUCGAGUAGCCAUGGCGCUUAAACAGCCGGAUCUGUUCGUUUAAUAUGCUUUCCAGUCCGCUUUGUACGGCGCUCAGAGCUCCCCGUGCGGCUCGGCGGCCGGGCCCAGCGCGCGUUAACAGAUGCUGAUGGUGAGGCGAUGAGGAUGCCGGGGGGCCGCAGGCUGGUGAGGCGGUGAGGAUGCCGGGGGGCCGCAGGCUGGUGAGGCGAUGAGGAUGCUGGGGGGCCGCAGGCAGGCCGUGUGCCGCCGAGGGGGGCCGGAUGCCCUGCUUUACGUCAGGUCAAUCGAAGCAAGACACGCGUCCUCGGCUGCGAUCUCCUACCGGUGCUGCUUAUGACCGGCUUCGGUGACUCGAUCACUCGAUCUAAACCAAUCACGGCCCCGACCCCACGGAGAUCGCUGCAGUCGAGGUGCAAGAAUGUCGAGGCUGAAGAUGGCAGCGCUGUGAAGAAUUGGUUAAACCAUUCUAAAGAUGCUGCAUGAGUCCAACUUCUGUUAUAUAUAUA